UGCUGAAUGGUGGGGAUAAUUUAUCUCCGUGUUGUAGCUAACGCGUUAAGCACUCCGCCUGGGGACUACGGUCGCAAGACUAAAACUCAAAGGAAUUGACGGGGACCCGCACAAGCGGUGGAGCAUGUGGUUUAAUUCGAUGCAACGCGAAAAACCUUACCACUCCUUGACAUGGAGAUUAGAUCCUUCUUAACAGAAGGGCGCAGUUCGGCUGGAUCUCGCACAGGUGCUGCAUGGCUGUCGUCAGCUCGUGUCGUGGGAUGUUGGGUUAAGUCCCGCAACGAGCGUAACCCUCAUCCUUAGUUGCCAGCGGGUAAGCCGGGCACUUUAAGGAAACUGCCGGUGGUAAACCGGAGGAAGGUGGGGAUGAUGUCAAGUCAGCACGGCCCUUAUGGGGUGGGCUACACACGUGCUACAAUGGUGACUACAAUAGGUUGCAAUGUCGCAAGGCUGAGCUAAUCCGUAAAAGUCAUCUCAGUUCGGAUUGUCCUCUGCAACUCGAGGGCAUGAAGUCGGAAUCGCUAGUAAUCGUGGAUCAGCAUGCCACGGUGAAUACGUUCUCGGGUCUUGUACACACUGCCCGUCACGCCAUGGGAAUUGGCUUAACUCGAAGCUGGUGCGCUAACCGAAAGGAAGCAGCCAUGAA
rnacentral:rRNA from 1 species